rnacentral:rRNA from 1 species
AUUGAACGCUGGCGGCAGGCCUAACACAUGCAAGUCGAGCGAGCGGCGGACGGGUGAGUAAUGUCUGGGAAACUUCCUGAUGGAGGGGGGGCACUAUUCGAAACGGUAUCUAAUACCGCCUACUAUCAGCUGUGCCCAGAUGGGAUUAGCUAGUAGGUGGGGUAACGGCUGACAUAGCCGACGAUCCCUAGCUGGGCUGAGAGGAUAAUCAGCCACACUGGGACUGAGACACGGCCCAGACUCCUACGUGAGGCAGCAGUGGGGAAUAUUGCACAAUGGGCGCAAGCCUGAUGCAGCCAUGCCGCGUGUAUGAAGAAGGCCUUCGGGUUGUAAAGUACUUUCAGUCGGGAGGCGUUACCGACAGAAGAAGCACCGGCUAACUCCGUGCCAGCAGCCGCGGUAAUUC